rnacentral:lncRNA from 1 species
GUUCUCUUACAGACAGUCUGACGUAGAUGCACAGAUUGGUGAGCACAUUGUGACUUGACCUGAAUGGAGCAUGGACCUUCACGCUCGGGUGCUUUGGAACCAUGGCCAGAUGCACAGCUCGGAUUGAUUUGCCUCAGAUUUCCCAUUUUUCUUCAGUUUGUUCAAUACACAGUCAUUGAACAUCCACUACUCUCAGUCAAGCACCGUACAAGGCCCCUUGAUAGCCUUUGGCCGUCUGCAGAAACAGUGCGCUUAUUAAUGGGAGAUCCUGACUCUGGUUCCACCAUUUCAGAUCUGAUGUCCUCCUAUGCUGCUGGCAAUUGGUGAAGAAUCAACGUGUUCCUCACCAAUCGAACAAAAACAAAUGCCCAUCACCACAUCCUUAUUGAGCCACCGGGGAUAACAGGAUGUGGCCCAGAACCUCACAUGCAGGUUCCUGGAAUAAACUAAGUCACUGCAAGAAAGAAACA